CUCUGUUCAACUUUCAUGGUGAUCGUGAAGGUGCCGUGAAAUGAAGGAGGAAACAAUGCAUAAACCCGCAUGGCGAAUUGCAUAGCGACCGCUAUGGCGACGCGAAUGUAACGAGGACGGGAACUAAAAACCCGUCGGUUAUCAAUUCUCUAAGAGAUCGCUACAAUUAAUCAGAAAGCAUAAACGCACCUUUAGGAAUACAAAUUCGUGUCACACUUUGGGUCUGCGGUCAACCACUGACCUCCCAAGGGAGCUUGAAAGAUUUGUCUCUACGUCUUGGGUGGUAAUCAACUGAUCUCGUAAGAAUUGGGUUUAUUUGACCCGGAAACGCCGGACGAUGGGCAAUUUCAUAUCGCAUGUCUUCGCACCCCAAUUGUACUACUGUUAC